rnacentral:rRNA from 1 species
UUGCCAGCAUUCAGUUGGGGUCGACUCUAGAGGGACGUGCCGGUGGUCAAACCGGAGGAAGGUGGGGAGUGACGUCAAGUCCUCAUGGCCUUUAUGUCUAGGGCUACACACGUACUACAAUGGCCGGUACAAAGGGCAGCCACUCAGCGAUGAGGCGCUAAUCCCAUAAAGCCGGUCUCAGUCCGGAUCGCAGUCUGCAACUCGACUGCGUGAAGUUGGAAUCGCUAGUAAUCGCGGAUCAGCAUGCCGCGGUGAAUACGUUCCCGGGCCUU